CCUACGGGAGGCAGCAGUGAGGAAUAUUGGUCAAUGGGCGGGAGCCUGAACCAGCCAAGUCGCGUGAAGGAAGAAGGUACUUAGUAUUGUAAACUUCUUUUGUCGGGGAACAAAGGCGGAGACGCGUCUCCGGAUUAGUGUACCCGAAGAAAAAGCAUCGGCUAACUCCGUGCCAGCAGCCGCGGUAAUACGGAGGAUGCGAGCGUUAUCCGGAUUUAUUGGGUUUAAAGGGUGCGCAGGCGGGAGAUCAAGUCAGCGGUAAAAUGUCGGGGCUCAACCCCGGCCGGCCGUUGAAACUGGUUUUCUAGAGUUGGAGAGAAGUAUGCGGAAUUCGUGGUGUAGCGGUGAAAGGCAUAGAUAUCACGCAGAACUCCGAUUGCGAAGGCAGCAUACCGGCGCUCAACUGACGCUCAUGCACGAAAGUGUGGGUAUCGAACAGGAUUAGAUACCCGUGUAGUC
rnacentral:rRNA from 1 species